UUACGGGAAACUGAAGGUAAUCCCCCAUAAUAUUGCGGGAAGGCAUCUUUCUGCAUAAAGUUUCGACGGUAUAUGAUUGGUGUGCGUUUGAUUAGCUAGUUGGUAGGGUAACGGCCUACCAAGGCGACGAUCAAUAGCUGGCGUGAGAGCGCGACCAGCCACACUGGAACUGAGACACGGUCCAGACUCCUACGGGAGGCAGCAGUAGGGAAUAUUGGACAAUGGGCGAAAGCCUGAUCCAGCCAUGCCGCGUGAUAGAUGAAGGCCCUCUGGGUUGUAAAUAUCUUUUAUCUGGGAAGAAACUCCUCUAUUCUUAGAGGCCUGACGGUACCAGAGGAAUAAGCACCGGCUAACUCCGUG
rnacentral:rRNA from 1 species